rnacentral:rRNA from 1 species
AUUGAACGCUGGCGGCAUGCCUUACACAUGCAAGUCGAACGGCAGCACGGGGCAACCCUGGUGGCGAGUGGCGAACGGGUGAGUAAUACAUCGGAACGUGCCCAGUAGUGGGGGAGUAGCCCGGCGAAAGCCGGAUUAAUACCGCAUACGACCUACGGGUGAAAGCGGGGGAUCGCAAGACCUCGUGCUACCGGAGCGGCCGAUGUCAGAUUAGG